rnacentral:rRNA from 1 species
AAACCAACUGGGAUUACCUUAGUAACGGCGAGUGAAGCGGUAAAAGCUCAAAUUUGAAAUCUGGUACUUUCAGUGCCCGAGUUGUAAUUUGUAGAAUUUGUCUUUGAUUAGGUCCUUGUCUAUGUUCCUUGGAACAGGACGUCAUAGAGGGUGAGAAUCCCGUUUGGCGAGGAUACCUUUUCUCUGUAAGACUUUUUCGAAGAGUCGAGUUGUUUGGGAAUGCAGCUCAAAGUGGGUGGUAAAUUCCAUCUAAAGCUAAAUAUUGGCGAGAGACCGAUAGCGAACAAGUACAGUGAUGGAAAGAUGAAAAGAACUUUGAAAAGAGAGUGAAAAAGUACGUGAAAUUGUUGAAAGGGAAGGGCAUUUGAUCAGACAUGGGUGUUUUGCGCCCUUUGCUCCUUGUGGGCGAGGAUACGCAGCUCACUGGGCCAACAUCAGUUUUGGGAGCAGGAUAAAUCUGUAGGAACGUAGCUUUCUCGGGAAUGUUAUAGCCUAUGGGAAUACUGCUACCUGGGA